GAUGAAGAACGUAGUGAAAUGCGAUAAGUAAUGUGAAUUGCAGAAUUCAGUGAAUCAUCGAAUCUUUGAACGCACCUUGCGCUCCUUGGUAUUCCGAGGAGCAUGCCUGUUUGAGUGUCAUGAAAACCCUCAACCUUAGAUUGGUUAAAACCUUUCUUUGGCUUGGAUUUGGACGUUUGCCGAUGAUAAGUCGGCUCGUCUUAAAAGUAAUAGCUGGAUCUGUCUCGCGACAUGGUUUGACUUGGCGUAAUAAGUAUUUCGCUAAGGACAUCUUCGGAUGGCCGCGUUGCAAGACUAAAGACCGCUUUCUAAUCCAUUGAUCUUCGGAUUAAUAUUCUUGACAUCUGGCCUCAAAUCAGGUAGGACUACCCGCUGAACUUAAGCAUAUCAAUAAGCGGAGGA
rnacentral:misc_RNA from 1 species